rnacentral:lncRNA from 1 species
CUACCAACUACAAUCCAACUUUCUUCCAAUCAAGCAAAACAUAUUUAAAUCAAAACUUAUGAACAACUGCACGAUAUGCACGAAGAAUAUGGUGGGAGCACAAAAGCAUCUGCUACUUGUUUAGCGGACAAUGCUGGCAACUGUUGAGCAAGUUCUGCAGCCACUUCUUGUUUAACGGAGAAUGCGAGCUGCUUCUAGUUUUAUCUGCACAAAUUUGAUAAUAGGUUCUUAUAAGAAUAUGGGUUUAUAUAUGUCUCAUUUUUCAUAAGAUUCAUGAAUAAAUAACAUUAUAUUAAUAUAUAAUAAGGACAGAGAGAGAAAAGAGAAAUGGAACGAUAUCUUCAUCGACGUUUGCUUCAUCAAUCAUGGAACUAACUAGCAAAAUAUUGUAUGCCAGAAAGGGCAGUAAAAUAUGGCAAUUGCAUAAUCCUUAAUAUUGCAUUUAAUUUGCAUUUAAGCCUAAACUAAAAUAAACAUUGAAAUAUUACGAAAAAUAUGCCCACACAAAAUUAAAAAACUAAGGUUUGGAAACAAGCAUAAAACUAAAACACACAGACAAGCAUCAAGAACUAGUCCAAUAAAAAUGUAGGCAAGCCAUAUAUGGUGCAAAUCCGGAGAGUAAUUUUAAAUAGUGUCAACCAAAAAAUGUGUACGGUGUUGGGAAAAAAUAAACCAACCCUGUAGAUGAUAUAAUGAAAACUGGUGCUUUAGCAGCUUGACUAUGAAGCAAUUUUUGCGACUCCGGUACAAAACCUGAUGUCUGCAAACAUGAGAAGCAGGCUUCCUUAUAUUACCAAAUAUAUAUUUACAUGGAAACAACAAAGUAAAAUGUUUACCGAACACGCACUCUGCCUCCAGCAUUAAAAAUUUCAAUUUUCUUCCUGCCAAAAAAUGCAAAUUCAUAAAAAAAUUAUGAGAACCACCUCUGGAUAUAUCAACUUUGGGAAUGAUAUAGGGAUAUAGAGGUUGAAACUUAACACAAGUACGCAAUUGGACUCAACUGAGCAUAAACCAAACCAAACUAUAUUAACAAAUACCAAACCGUUUGAAAGAUCAUAAACCACACUAUAUUAACAAAUAGACUAAUAUAUCCACUAUACCUUUGAGAAACUAUUUGGAGGAAUUCGGAGAAGGCAAUCUUCUAAAGCUCUUACAUACACAGCAUCAGCAAGCAUUACAAAAAACAACAUACAGUUGAGAAGAUAACAAAACCCCUCUUAAAUAAAAAACAAAACCCCUGUUAAAUAAAAAACAGAGUACUUACACACAUCAACAAUUAAUUCAGCAAUAAUUUAAUAGAUUCCAAUACAAAUAAACAUUCAUCUCAAAAAUUGAACAAUAAGUCAGAAAUUCCUAACAUAUAUAUGUACAUAUAUUACAUAUCUAUACACAGAUUACAGCUAGUCUCUUCCGGCUAUAUAUAUCAGUAUCACGCACACACACAUUGCAGGAAGUCCCUCUCUCUCAUAGAAAACAAAC